rnacentral:ncRNA from 2 species
UUGUACGCUCUUCGGGCCAGUCGUACUCCACUUCGUGGGGCAGGGAACCCGGUGCGAAUCCGGGACUGACGCGCAGCGGUGAGGGUGACGGGCGGGCACGUCCCGGGGUUUCGCGUCCCGGGCGGCCACUGGGGCGCACGCGCCCCGGGAAGGCGCCCCGUACCGGUCGAACCCGAGUCCGAAGACCUGCUGGCACCGGCGGUGACGG